AGCCUCAUCGUCUAGUGGUUAGGACGCUGCCCCCUCAAGGCGGAAACGAGGGGUUCAAAUCCCCCUGGGGCUA
rnacentral:tRNA from 2 species